UGGACAUUUGGAACGGACUAUGAAUAUGGGGAUAGCGAGAGAGAAGCUGUACCAGACCAUUUACUCUAUGCAGUCUGACUCGCAUCUGGCAACAGUGAAGCAGCUACAUUCUGUUUUGCAGACAAAUAUCAAUAUCCUAGAAGAGAUAAAUCUGAGUUUAAAAAACCUCCAUACACCUACAGAUGUGAAGAGAUCCUGUGACGGCGGAGGUCAUCCAUGUAGUUAGUGGAGGUCAAAGGAAGGCUUCUCUAUUGUUUUCCUGUCCCAAGGAUCAACAGACAUAAUAUAUUUGUUACGAGAUUGUUGACACUUUGCCUUUUUGGCUUGCAAUGUUUUCUGUGAUAUUUCUAAGACCACUAUUUAAUGAACCACUUAUACUAACUCCUCUUUAAUCACUUUUUUGUUUGGAAAAAAUCUUUUAAACAACUGCCAUGUUAUCAGAGUUAUAUGUGAUUUUUAAAUAUUUUGAAUUUUUAUUGUGUUGUGUUUUAAAUAGUUGAAUGUUAAUUGAUGAAAAAAUCUAACUGUGAAAGUACUUAGAUAGUAAUGUGGAAAUUGAUCAUCCAAAGUGAGAAAGGAAAAUUUAUGUGAGAUUUACUUUUACUAAAAUUUGUUAUCAAUUUUUGAAAAUUUAUGUUUUUUAUCAUGGUUGUUUUAUUCUAAUCUGUUGAUGAUCUGUUGCAAUCACAAAGCUACUUGUUGUCACAUUUCUGUUACUCUAUUUUACCAGACAAAUCACAUUCCAUAUUUGUUGCUUUCUUGUCAUGGACAUAUCUGUCACAAUUGAUAUAUAAUCAUGUUAUGACUAAGAAACAUCAAAAUCAACAGCUACAAACAAUCAGAAAAAUAUGCUAUAAGUAACACAAAAUUUUAUUUUUUAUCUUUACAUAAAAUCCAUAAUGAUUAUAAAUGGCUGGUUUUGGGUUAAGCAUUGUCAGGUAAUUCAGAUAAUGAUUUUGUAGCUAUUGCUAUAGAUACCUGUAAUAUGUUUUAAUACAAACUUCUUGAAAGGGCCGGUUUCCAAAACAGCCCCUUCUCUGAUUCAAAUUUCCUGUUG